GCCUUAUGAUGGAUUCUGUGGGAAAUGCAUCAAAGUUUUUUGAUAAGCAGCUUUUCUUGUGGGUAGCUGUUGUUCAGGUUUCUGCAAAAGCCUUAUCUGAAUCUAAGACAUGGGUUAUCAUUCUCUGAUGCAGAUAAGAAGUCGUAUACAUUAUGCUGACUGUCUACACCUCUGGGACCCAGGCAAAUGCCUCCGGAAGUGUUUCUCUGUGUCCUUCAAGGCCAGAAGAGGGCGUUGAGUCUCCUGGAACUGGAGUCAUUGGCCAUGGUGAGCUGGGAACCAAACUCAGAUCCUCUGCAUGGACAGUGUGUGCUCUCGACCACUGAGCCAUCUCUUUGACCCCUUGAGAACAGACCUGUGCCUCCAAGAAGCAAAUCUAGGAGUACAGUGAUGCUUAUGGACUCUUUGGCCUUUCUCUGAAGGAGAGUGCAGGGGUUUUGUCCCUGUUGACAUCCCCAGUGAUGCAUCGCCUUAUCCGGAGGAAUUUCCUGAGAGUAAUUUUAUAUCAUUCCAUCUCAUUCUUAUACCACGUCUGUGGACAUGCCCAAAUGGAAAAAAAAAAAAAAAACAAAACAAACAAAAAAAACGCGUUGCAUGGUAGCACAUGUCCUUAACCCCGGCAAUCUGCAGGCACAGUCAGGUGAUCUCUGCCAGUUCAAAGACA